AUUGAACGCUGGCGGCGUGCCUAACACAUGCAAGUCGAGCGGUAACAGGUGUAGCAAUACAUGCUGACGAGCGGCGGACGGGUGAGUAACGCUUGGGAAUCUGCCCAUUAGUGGGGGACAACCCGGGGAAACUCGGGCUAAUACCGCAUACGCUCUACGGAGGAAAGCCGGGGACCGCAAGGCCUGGCGCUAAUAGAUGAGCCCAAGUCGGAUUAGCUAGUUGGUAGGGUAAUGGCCUACCAAGGCGACGAUCCGUAACUGGUCUGAGAGGACGACCAGUCACACCGGAACUGAGACACGGUCCCGGACUCCUACGGGAGGCAGCAGUGGGGAAUAUUGGACAAUGGGCGAAAGCCUGAUCCAGCGACGCCGCGUGGGUGAAGAAGGCCUGCGGGUUGUAAAGCCCUUUCAGUGGGGAAGAAAAGCCUCGACCUAACACGUCGGGGUCUUGACGUAACCCAUAGAAGAAGCACCGGCUAACUCUGUGCCAGCCGCCGCGGUAAU
rnacentral:rRNA from 1 species